GCCCGAGAGCAGCCGUGUGUGAUUUAGGCAGAGCGGAGGCCGCAGCUCUUACUCCCGGAAAGUGUGGAGACAGAGGUGCAGACACCCCACGGGCUCCGCUUCGCGGCUCCUCAGCAGCUCUUCUCCUCAGCCGGAGUCCCUGCCUCAUGAAAGGCCGGGGAUGACAUCAGAGAUCAUCUGCUUGUGAAUAUGGAGAAAGAACCCAUCUGCACGCAAGGCUUUAACGUGACGUUGAUGGUCUCGCUUCAGAGACACAGGUUUUCUGGGAGCCGAACAGGCCCACGGGAGAUUGGCCC